rnacentral:lncRNA from 1 species
GAGCAUAGAACACAGUGAAUUUGGACUAUAGCAAUUGUGACAAUCUAUUGCUAUACUCAAGUGCUUUUUCUUAUUUCUUUCAACCACCAAGGAGGAAGUGACAACCUAGCACAAAGGGUGAAAAAGGAGGAGUUGUUUACAACUCGAUCCCAAGGCGCUGCAUCAACUUGUCAAGUGCUUCACUGCCCCACUCACUUAAUGACACUUAUUGUUACUUACAAAAUUUGCAGAUGGUGCAAUUGGAGGAUGUAGAGUUACCCACAUGACUGACAAGCCCCGUCAAAAGUUACCUUGACACAUUGAAACCAACAAAGUAAACUGCAAGGGAGCCCCUAGGAACUCUAAAGAAUAGAACAACACAACAGCUGAGAAGAGGAAAAGCAGGCUUCCCAGAGCCUUUAAUGUGCCUGGGGCCCAGGCCUCUCUGAGUCUGGGAUGCUGAUCUUCAGUACGAGGCUGGAAUGGCCCUGAAGAUUUAUUUGCUAUCAUGUCUGGGAGCUUCUCCAGCAGCUGAAGCAGACAUGGGCUGAGGGCAGGAAGGGAGCAAUUGCGAUUGAGGUUUUGAUGUACAGGCUCUGCUGGGUUGGUGAGGGAGCAUAGAGCAAUGCGGGGGAGCUAGUCUGGAGGCUGGUUUGAGACCCAGCCUUAACACUGACUUAGUGGGCGCUGGUCAUCCAGCUACAUCCCCGCCCAGAGUCAGGGAACAUGGCAACUCAGUGCAGGUGUGACAGGAGACAGAGACUGCCACUUGCUUGCAGCAUUCUUAUCACGUAAACAGAAAGAAGGGAGGAUUUGCCUGAAAACCAUACCCCAGCACGUGCAGGUAGUGACAGGAGGCUGUGGGCCUGCCUGAGGGCUCUGGGAAGCAGCUGGAUCCUGCAGUCCCAGCGUUUUCUACCAGGAAAUGAGGACAAGGACACUGUCACUCACCCCCAACUACGUCUAGGCACAGGAGAACAAAGCAGAAUUGUAGAUGAGUGACCUCCUACUUCCCGACCGUCAGAGAUGGUGAAUGUCAGUCAUCUGCACCCUCCUCCACAUUAUCCCAUGAGGAGACCUGCCUGUCAGCAAUGGAGACGUGUGCGGCAUUGUAUCUCAGGACCCAGAGCCAGGCUCGGCGUGCGGAGGGCAUUUCAUAAGGAAUUGUAGGAUAAACUAAACCAUAUACUCAAAUAUGUAUUUCUGGGUCAGCAGCCCUGACACAGUCAUCCCUGGAGAGACUGUGAUAAACUCUGACUCCCUGCUGUUCUGGAAGGAAUUUAGUCCUCUUGGUGACUGACUGGAGCAGGAACUGCCUUCAAGGAGGCCUCACAUGUGGAUCUGCCAUAGGGCAAGCACACCUGGAGAAUGACUUUGGGGGAGUGACCUUGGAUUUGCUCUGUCUGCAAUAAACAUUCUGGAACGUGUUGAAGUCAUAACAAGUUACUCACUCCUGGUGGGCUGGCAGGAAAGAAACCAGAGUGGGGAAUAGGGUUCAGUACAAAAAAAACACCAAAUAGAGCUUUUGAAUGGAAUGCUCACCUGAACCAGGUGGUAGAGCAGCAGC